CUUCCUCUCUCUGUUCCCACGCCCGCUUCACUUCAUGCCUCUGCCGUGAAGUACUGUGCCGCCACAGACACGAGAUAACGGCCAGGGAGCACUAGUUGUCUGGUGAUGAAAUUGGUCAGAAAUGUAACAUAAUGCCAACUCAGCUGGAGGACAGGAUCAUCUCUUCAAAUCCUAAUUCACUUGCAAAGUCGUGAGGAACCCAGAAGGAGCAAGUUCUACGGUCUGGAAAUUCCAAGAUGAAGACACAAGCAUGUUUGGGGUCUUGUCAGGGCCCAGUCUCCACUUCCAAGAUGGCACCUUGAAUGCUGCAGCCUCCACAUGGGAGGAACACUCUUCCUCAUGGGGUAGAAACCCCGAAGGGGACAAACCCACUCCUGAAAGCCUUUUCAUUUUGAUGGCAAUCCACUGAUGAGAGCCAGGCCUUGUGACCUAAACACUUCGUGUUAGGCACCACCCUCCAACACUGUUGUAUUGGUGGGGUUCCCAAUGCCUGAGUUUUGUUUGACAAACAUUCAAACCAGAGCAAGUAGUGUCCUCAGAUACACAAAGAGCUCAUGGUCCCUGUCUUAACGAGUUCUGUCACAUCAAAAGAUGCCUCUUCUGUUACAGUUUCUCAUUCUCUGUUCCACAACCCCAGCUUCAAAUGAUCCUUUCUUCCUUUGAACACUCAAAAUAAUAUACUGUGUUUCUCUCGUGGCACUGAUAUGAUACCUCUACUGCAGUUCUGACUAAUCUCAUACUGGUUUGCAUGGACUCAGAACCACAUCUUGUCAUCCAACUCCAACAGUGUUUAGUCCAGUGCCUUGCACAUAAUAGACCCUAAUAAAUAUUUUCAUAAUAAAGAGAUAGGACUAAAUCCUGCAUUAUCUACAUAUUGAACUCAUAUUGAAAGGGAAUUAAAAAUUUAAGUAAAGUCCCACCAAGAAUGCCCACCAAAACCAACUGGACAUGCCCAGGCAAGCCUGAUAACAGAACACUUCUUCCUUUGUAUAGCCCCUGUCUUUAUUGUCUUUGUGUAACUGAUGGCUUUGCAAUGUAACCUGAGACUGAUGAUGGUCUUGCAAUGUAAAUUGAGAUGUUAAACUCCCUUGGCAACCCAUGAUGUCACUGAACCCUCCAAUCAUAAUGCACCAAAUCUGCUGCUGUACCUCCCACUUACUCUCCCCUUAAAAGUACCAAAACCCUAUUGGUCAGGCUCUAACUCUUUGGGAGCGAUCCCAGUCAGGCCCACUGGUGUAAUAAAAUUGCCAUCUCCUAGA